rnacentral:rRNA from 1 species
AGUGAACGCUGGCGGCGUGCUUAACACAUGCAAGUCGAACGAGAACGGGCUAUAGCUUGCUAUAGUUGUCAGCUAAGUGGCGCACGGGUGAGUAAUGUAUAGGUAAUAUGCCUCUUACUAAGGGAUAACAAAUGGAAACGUUUGCUAAUACCUUAUACUCCUUAUUAACAGAAGUUAAUAAGGGAAAGAUUUAUUGGUAAGAGAUUAGCCUGUAUUGUAUCAGUUAGUUGGUGGGGUAAUGGCUUACCAAGACUAUGACACAUAACUGGUUUGAGAGGAUGAGCAGUCACACUGGAACUGAGACACGGUCCAGACUCCUACGGGAGGCAGCAGUGGGGACUAUUGCACAAUGGACGAAAGUCUGAUGCAGCAACGCCGCGUGGAGGAUGAAACAUUUCGGUGCGUAAACUCCUUUUAUAUGAGAAGAUAAUGACGGUAUUAUAUGAAUAAGCACCGGCUAACUCCGUGCCAGCCGCCGCAGUAA